CCUACGGGAGGCAGCAGUGGGGAAUCUUGCACAAUGGGGGAAACCCUGAUGCAGCGACGCCGCGUGAGUGAAGAAGUAUUUCGGUAUGUAAAGCUCUAUCAGCAGGGAAGAAAAUGACGGUACCUGACUAAGAAGCCCCGGCUAACUACGUGCCAGCAGCCGCGGUAAUACGUAGGGGGCAAGCGUUAUCCGGAUUUACUGGGGGUAAAGGGAGCGUAGACGGCAGCACAAGUCUGGAGUGAAAUGCCGGGGCUUAACCCGGGAACUGCUUUGGAAACUGUGCAGCUAGAGUGCAGGAGAGGUGAGUGGAACUCCUAGUGUAGCGGUGAAAUGCGUAGAUAUUAGGAGGAACACCAGUGGCGAAGGCGGCUUACUGGACUGUAACUGACGUUGAGGCUCGAAAGCGUGGGGAGCAAACAGGAUUAGAUACCCCAGUAGUC
rnacentral:rRNA from 1 species